rnacentral:rRNA from 1 species
GACAGAGGGUGCAAACGUUGCUCGGAAUCACUGGGCGUAAAGGGCGUGUAGGCGGACGUGUAAGUCGGGCGUGAAAUCCCUGGGCUCAACCCAGGAACUGCACUCGAAACUGCGCGUCUUGAGUACCGGAGAGGAAGGUGGAAUUCCUGGUGUAGAGGUGAAAUUCGUAGAUAUCAGGAGGAACACCAGUGGCGAAGGCGGCCUUCUGGACGGUAACUGACGCUGAGACGCGAAAGCGUGGGGAG